AGGACGAACGCUGGCGGCGUGCUUAACACAUGCAAGUCGAACGGUGAAGGAGAGCUUGCUCUCCGGAUCAGUGGCGAACGGGUGAGUAACACGUGAGUAACCUGCCCUUGACUCUGGGAUAAGCGUUGGAAACGACGUCUAAUACCGGAUACGAGCUUCAGCCGCAUGGCUAGGAGCUAGGAAAGAAUUUCGGUACAAGGAUGGACUCGCGGCCUAUCAGCUAGUUGGUGAGGUAAUGGCUCACGAAGGCGACGGACGGGUAGCCGGCCGUGAGAGGGUGAACCGGCCACACGUGGGACUGACGACCGACGGCCCAGACGUCCGUACGGGAGG
rnacentral:rRNA from 1 species